rnacentral:sRNA from 1 species
GCUGGGCAUGGUGGUGCAUGCCUGUAAUCCCAGCUACUUGGGAGGCUGAGGCAGGAGAAUUGCUUGAACCCAGGAGGUGGAGGUUGCAGUGAGCUGAGAUUGUGCCAGUGCACUCCAGCCUGGGUGACAGAGUAAGAUUCCAUCUCAA